UCCCAAAGAUUGUCUUAAAUGGAUUGUAUAUGUACCUAAGUAGUCUUAUCCUCACAAUCUUCCUAUUGAUAAUGUAUCAUUGGAAGAACAUGUUAGAUAAGUCUAUCAUAAAGAGAACAAUACUUUUAAUGUCAUAGUUCUUCACUUACAAAUCGUUGUAUGAAGAAAUAAGAGUUGCUUUGAACAACCCCUAGCUAAUGCAAACACUAGUGCUUGUUUCUUUGUUAAAUAAACAAAGAACCUGAGAAGAAAGCACAAGGGCAUGGACACUUUAUGUGCCAUGAUUCUUCACUUACAAAUUGUUGUAUGAAGAAAUGAGAGUUGCCUUGAACAACUCUUGAAAGUUUGUAAUUAUGUUUAGAACAUAAUGGUUGGUUGACAAAAAUAGUCCAUCAACAUGGACUUAUGAUGAUUUUGAAUCAUUGAGUGUUGAAGUGUUAAACCACUUCUAGAAACGGAAACUAGGCAAUGACUUCACCUUGGUGUCCCUAUCCAAAUGGUUCACUAAGUUUAUUGUAAACUAUAUAGUGAACGACAACCACACACUCUCCAAAUCGUUUGAUGUGUAUAACACAAUUGAAAUAAGUUUCAAGAGAGAUAGUGGGAGUUUAGGGACCAUGACUAUUGUAGUCAAAGGAGAAGUCAAAUGAAGAAAGCGAAAUAAACUCCAAGGAAAGUAAAUCAAAUGUAGAUCUCUACGAAAGCAGAUCAUACUUACUCCCUCAUAUGAACUACCAAAGAAAUUGGAAAAACUAAAGAUUGUCUUUACAUUCCAAUUUUAAGGAACUUAAUUCCGUCACUAUAAGAGAUGGAUGAAUGUUUCGUUUGACAAAACAUUGUUCUUUAUUAAUGAAUGAUUAGAUUAUUGUAAUCUAAUUGAUUGUCUCUAUAGUAGAGAUGUAUGGUAGUGUUAACUGUUUAGAAAAUAACGAUGCUUAAAACCCAAAAGGUUGCAAGGUAGUGACUAAUCCCAACUGAGUUGUGAUAUCUCUAAAACAUAAAUUACGAGUUGGUCAUAGAUGGAUGCUUUGGAUCGUUAGAUCCGGAUCCAAUACCUUCUUAUUAAAAUUGUAUAGAGGCAAAAUGUUCGAAUCUUUAUUCUUUUGGAAAGGAAGAAAGAAUCACAAAGUUGUUGAGGUUAAUUCACUUAGAUGUUAGUGGCACUUGUCCACAACAUAAUACUACUCAUGUUGUAUGACAUUCACUGAAGAUCGCUCUCGGUUGGACUAUCAUUUAUUUUGAAUAAACACAAGUCCGAAUACUUUGCAAAAGGUUUCAAAGAAUUCAAGAAAUGUAAGUUGAUGAGUAAGAUGUCUAAAGUAUUUACCUCCUUAGAUUGAUCCAAGGAAAGGUAACACUUUAGAACAGUUUCCUUGAAAGAUAUCAAGGAAAGAAGCAUCAUAUGAUAAUGGAUUUCUCCAUUAAGAGAAGAAUGAACUCGAAAUAAGAUUUAGUUCGUUGGAUGUUAUCAAUUGCCCAUAUAUAGGAUAUAUACUUCUAAGACAAUAUGAUUGUCAAUUAGAAGAUCUUCCAAAAUUUUCAUAACUCCAUAGGAUAUAGUUGGAAAGAAAGACAAAUCUUAAUCAUGUUAAUAUUUAGGGUUGUGUGCUAAUAAGCAAUAUUUGUUUAAAGAAUUAUCUUGUGGGUAUCCUUAAAUUAACAUUUGGAUAUCACUUCUAUAAACCAACUAACAAAUGUUGUUUGUUGGGUAGUUCAUUGUAAUCCUACAAUAUGAUUUGCCUAACGCAAAUGAACGAGAGAUAGAACUCAAAGAAUGGGUUCUUUGAGAGGCAAGAUGAUAAUCAACAAAUAUAACAACCUAGUUCCUACGACACAAGCUCCAAGGUAGUCGACAAGGAUUUAUAAACUGUCUCAGUUGAAUGGUUUGAACUUUAUGACUAUGUCAUAGAGUUACACCUCUUAAUUCGAAAGAAAUAAGAAUGAAAAUCCUUAUGACUACAUGAAGUGUAUAUACGACAUAUACUCAAGGAAAUGGUAAAGUACCAUUUGACCCGAAAUAAUGAAACCUUUAUAGCUAAUUGGUAGCUUAAGGUGACUACAAUUAAAGAGAUUGGUUGACUUGGAAGAAACCAUCUUUCACGUAGUCUUGGUUUCAAUUAAUUCAAAGAUUGCUAGCUACAACUAAAUGGUGAUUCAAUGUUUGGACAUAAUAUGGGUUUCCGAAACCAUUAUUAAGAUAGUCUUGAUAAUAUAUGUCUAAAACUAUGAAUCACAAGACAUGUAAGUUGUAGAGAUCCAUCCAUCAUGGAUCUUAGCAAGCUAGUGGGAGCUAUAAACGUCUUAUGAGAGAAAGAUCAAAUCGUUUGAUUUCUCAUAAAGAUGUAAAUGAAUCCUUUGUUUACUAGGUUUACAAAAGAUUAGUGGGAGUUAAUCAUGUUCCUAAAUUUGAAUAUAUAUAUACAAAUAUAUGAUAUAUUAAUUUUGGAAAUGAAAGAGAAUACUUCUUCGUUAAAGUUAUGACUUUAAACAUUCUAUAACGAUAGAAUGUAUAUGGGAGACAUAGUCUAUAAACAUGGGAUGUAAAUCUAUAAUGAUAGAUUUCAGGAUAUAAUUGGAUUAUAUCAAGCCCUAAUGAUAGACAAAAAGAUGCUAGGAAGUUUCUCAUAUGAUGAUAAACUUCAAUCAGAAGAACAACUCUAGUAAGACUAGGAGGUAGCUCUUCUCAAAGGGAACAUACCCUUUGACUCCCAAAGAAAUAAUGCGUAAAUAGAAUCCUUUAUUCAUACGCAGAAAAGUGAUUUACGUAUUUCAUAUUGUAUGUAAACAUUGAUAUGAGUUGUACCUAGAACGGUACAGACGAUAUCAGUGCAAGCCCAGGAUCAGAACCAUGGCAAAUGCCAAGUGAGUCCUUAAGUAUUUAAGAAAUACUAAAGGAUAGAUUCCUCAAAGAAUGAGGAAGAAUUAGAAUAACGUAAUGGAAGCGUAAAUGUAUUAGAUUAUGAAUCUAAUCCAUCAUUGGAUGUUUCUUCAUUAUGAAUGAAG
rnacentral:lncRNA from 1 species